AUUGAACGCUGGCGGCAUGCCUUACACAUGCAAGUCGAACGGCAGCACGGACUUCGGUCUGGUGGCGAGUGGCGAACGGGUGAGUAAUACAUCGGAACGUGCCCAGUCGUGGGGGAUAACGUAGCGAAAGCUACGCUAAUACCGCAUACGAUCUAAGGAUGAAAGCGGGGGAUCGCAAGACCUCGCGCGAUUGGAGCGGCCGAUGGCAGAUUAGGUAGUUGGUGGGGUAAAGGCUCACCAAGCCGACGAUCUGUAGCUGGUCUGAGAGGACGACCAGCCACACUGGGACUGAGACACGGCCCAGACUCCUACGGGAGGCAGCAGUGGGGAAUUUUGGACAAUGGGCGCAAGCCUGAUCCAGCCAUUCCGCGUGCAGGAUGAAGGCCCUCGGGUUGUAAACUGCUUUUGUACGGAACGAAAAGGCUCUGGUUAAUACCUGGGGCUCAUGACGGUACCGUAAGAAUAAGCACCGGCUAACUACGUGCCAGCAGCCGCAGUAA
rnacentral:rRNA from 1 species